rnacentral:rRNA from 1 species
AUUGAACGCUGGCGGCAGGCCUAACACAUGCAAGUCGAGCGGAUGAAGGGAGCUUGCUCCUGGAUUCAGCGGCGGACGGGUGAGUAAUGCCUAGGAAUCUGCCUGGUAGUGGGGGAUAACGUCCGGAAACGGGCGCUAAUACCGCAUACGUCCUGAGGGAGAAAGUGGGGGAUCUUCGGACCUCACGCUAUCAGAUGAUCCUAGGUCGGAUUAGCUAGUUGGUGGGGUAAAGGCCUACCAAGGCGACGAUCCGUAACUGGUCUGAGAGGAUGAUCAGUCACACUGGAACUGAGACACGGUCCAGACUCCUACGGGAGGCAGCAGUGGGGAAUAUUGGACAAUGGGCGAAAGCCUGAUCCAGCCAUGCCGCGUGUGUGAAGAAGGUCUUCGGAUUUUAAAGCACUUUAAGUUGGGAGGAAGGGCAGUAAGUUAAUACCUUGCUGUUUUGACGUUACCAACAGAAUAAGCACCGGCUAACUUCGUG